CACGCCCUAAACGAUGUCGACUGGUUGUUGGGGGUUUGACACUCUCAGUAACGAAGCUAACGCGUGAAGUCGACCGCCUGGGGAGUACGGCCGCAAGGUUAAAACUCAAAGGAAUUGACG
rnacentral:rRNA from 1 species